rnacentral:tRNA from 2 species
AGCCCGGUAGUGUAGUGGACAGGAAAAGUCGAGUGAGGCUUUCCCCAUAAAAUCAUGCGGGGUUUUGGUCCCCGUGACGGCGGUUCGAAUCCGCCCCGGGCUACCA